CCUACGGGAGGCAGCAGUGGGGAAUAUUGCACAAUGGGGGGAACUCUGAUGCAGCGACGCCGCGUGGGUGAGGAAGUACUUCGGUAUGUAAAGCCCUAUCAGCAGGGAAGAAAAUGACGGUACCUGACUAAGCAGCCCCGGCUAAUUACGUGCCAGCAGCCGCGGUAAUACGGAGGGGGCAAGCGCUAUCCGGAUUUACUGGGUGUAACGGGAGCGGAGGCGGCGUGCCAAGUCUGAUGUGAAAGGCCGGGGCUCAACCCCGGGGCUGCAUUGGAAACUGGCAGGCUGGAGUGCAGAAGGGGCGAGUGGAAUUCCAAGUGUAGCGGUGAAAUGCGUAGAUAUUAGGAGGAACACCAGUGGCGAAGGCGGCUUGCUGGACUGUAACUGACGUUGAGGCUCGAAAGCGUGGGGAGCAAACAGGAUUAGAUACCCGAGUAGUC
rnacentral:rRNA from 1 species